ACAAAAGCCAAAAAUCUUAGUCUCACUAGUAAUCUAAGAAAUUCAGACUAAAGCAGUCAUUGUAAGUCUUUUUAAAUAGACAGAUAACCAAGAGAAACAGUUUUGAAGAUUCAAUGCAAAGUUUGUAUCAUGUCAUCGCCAUUUGUGAAAAUUUUCCCUUAUGGACUGCACCAUAAAAGGCAUGA
rnacentral:lncRNA from 1 species